AAUAGAUACCCUGGUAGUCCACGCCGUAAACGAUGUCGACUUGGAGGUUGUGGCCCUUGAGGCGUGGCUUCCGGAGCUAACGCGUUAAGUCGACCGCCUGGGGAGUACGGCCGCAAGGUUAAAACUCAAAUGAAUUGACGGGGGGCCCGCACAAGCGGUGGAGCAUGUGGUUUAAUUCGAUGCAACGCGAAGAACCUUACCUACUCUUGACAUCCAGAGAACUUAGCAGAGAUGCUUUGGUGCCUUCGGGAACUCUGAGACAGGUGCUGCAUGGCUGUCGUCAGCUCGUGUUGUGAAAUGUUGGGUUAAGUCCCGCAACGAGCGCAACCCUUAUCCUUUGUUGCCAGCGGUUCGGCCGGGAACUCAAAGGAGACUGCCAGUGAUAAACUGGAGGAAGGUGGGGAUGACGUCAAGUCAUCAUGGCCCUUACGAGUAGGGCUACACACGUGCUACAAUGGCGUAUACAAAGAGAAGCGACCUCGCGAGAGCAAGCGGACCUCAUAAAGUACGUCGUAGUCCGGAUUGGAGU
rnacentral:rRNA from 1 species